GUUAUUGUGCAGGAGAAUCACAGGAUAACUCUUCUUUUGCCGGGAAUUCUGAUUAGAUUUGAUUUCUGCACUUAAUUCAUCCAUCUUCAUUGCCUGCCAAAGGAGAGUUGCCCUGCGAUUGUUCUUUACAUGAU
rnacentral:pre_miRNA from 1 species